UACGUAGGGGGCGAGCGUUGUCCGGAUUUAUUGGGCGUAAAGAGCGUGUAGGCGGUUCGGUAAGUCUGUCGUGAAAUCCUGAGGCUCAACCUCGAGACGUCGAUGGAAACCAUCUGGCUAGAGUCCGGAAGAGGAGAGUGGAAUUCCUGGUGUAGCGGUGAAAUGCGCAGAUAUCAGGAAGAACACCUAUGGCGAAGGCAGCUCUCUGGGACGGUACUGACGCUGAGACGCGAAAGCGUGGGGAGCGAACAGG
rnacentral:rRNA from 1 species